UCAGGACGAACGCUGGCGGCGUGCCUAACACAUGCAAGUCGAACGGAGAAUUUUAUUUCGGUAGAAUUCUUAGUGGCGAACGGGUGAGUAACGCGUAGGCAACCUGCCCUUUAGACGGGGACAACAUUCCGAAAGGAGUGCUAAUACCGGAUGUGAUCAUCAUGCCGCAUGGCAGGAUGAAGAAAGAUGGCCUCUACAAGUAAGCUAUCGCUAAAGGAUGGGCCUGCGUCUGAUUAGCUAGUUGGUAGUGUAACGGACUACCAAGGCGAUGAUCAGUAGCCGGUCUGAGAGGAUGAACGGCCACAUUGGGACUGAGACACGGCCCAAACUCCUACGGGAGGCAGCAGUGGGGAAUCUUCCGCAAUGGACGAAAGUCUGACGGAGCAACGCCGCGUGAGUGAUGAAGGAUUUCGGUCUGUAAAGCUCUGUUGUUUAUGACGAACGUGCAGUGUGUGAACAAUGCAUUGCAAUGACGGUAGUAAACGAGGAAGCCACGGCUAACUACGUGCCAGCAGCCGCGGUAAUACGUAGGUGGCGAGCGUUGUCCGGAAUUAUUGGGCGUAAAGAGCAUGUAGGCGGCUUAAUAAGUCGAGCGUGAAAAUGCGGGGCUCAACCCCGUAUGGCGCUGGAAACUGUUAGGCUUGAGUGCAGGAGAGGAAAGGGGAAUUCCCAGUGUAGCGGUGAAAUGCGUAGAUAUUGGGAGGAACACCAGUGGCGAAGGCGCCUUUCUGGACUGUGUCUGACGCUGAGAUGCGAAAGCCAGGGUAGCGAACGGGAUUAGAUACCCCGGUAGUCCUGGCCGUAAA
rnacentral:rRNA from 1 species